rnacentral:rRNA from 1 species
UACGUAGGGAGCAAGCGUUGUCCGGAAUCAUUGGGCGUAAAGAGCGUGUAGGCGGCCCGGUAAGUCGGUUGUGAAAGUCAAGGGCUCAACCCUUGAAAGCCGACCGAUACUGUCGGGCUAGAAUCCGGAAGAGGCGAGUGGAAUUCCUGGUGUAGCGGUGAAAUGCGCAGAUAUCAGGAGGAACACCAAUGGCGAAGGCAGCUCGCUGGGACGGUAUUGACGCUGAGACGCGAAAGCGUGGGGAGCAAAC